rnacentral:rRNA from 1 species
UACGUAGGGCGCAAGCGUUAUCCGGAAUUAUUGGGCGUAAAGAGCUCGUAGGCGGUUUGUCGCGUCUGCCGUGAAAGUCCGGGGCUCAACUCCGGAUCUGCGGUGGGUACGGGCAGGCUAGAGUGAUGUAGGGGAGAGUGGAAUUCCUGGUGUAGCGGUGAAAUGCGCAGAUAUCAGGAGGAACACCGAUGGCGAAGGCAGGUAUCUGGGCAUGAACUGACGCUGAGGAGCGAAAGCAUGGGGAGCGAACAGG